rnacentral:pre_miRNA from 1 species
CUCAUGCUCCCCCGUCCAACAAAAGAUGUCUCAAGUUUGUCAAAAUUUGGAUGUAUCUAGACAUAACUUAGUGUAUAAAUGCAUUCAAAUUUAGUCAAAGUUGUGACUUCUUUUUUGGAUGGAGGAAGUAUAUA